UACAGAGGUCCCAAGCGUUGUUCGGAUUCACUGGGCGUAAAGGGUGCGUAGGCGGGCAGGUAAGUCCGUGGUGAAAUCUCUGAGCUUAACUCAGAAACUGCCAUGGAUACUAUUUGUCUUGAAUGUUGUGGAGGUAAGCGGAAUAUGUCAUGUAGCGGUGAAAUGCUUAGAUAUGACAUAGAACACCAAUUGCGAAGGCAGCUUACUACACAAAUAUUGACGCUGAGGCACGAAAGCGUGGGGAUCAAACAGG
rnacentral:rRNA from 1 species